rnacentral:tRNA from 1 species
GCCUGGUUGGCUCAUUUGUUAGAGCACGAGACUUUUGAUCUUGGAGUUGUGAGUUCAAGCCACAUGUUGGGUG